rnacentral:rRNA from 1 species
AUUGAACGCUGGCGGCAGGCCUAACACAUGCAAGUCGAGCGGAUUAAGGGAGCUUGCUCCUGGAUUCAGCGGCGGACGGGUGAGUAAUGCCUAGGAAUCUGCCUGGUGUUGUUGGAUAACGUCCGGAAACGGGCGCUAAUACCUCAUACGUCCUGAUGUAUAUAGUUGGGGAUCUUCGGACCUCACGCUAUCAGAUGAGCCUAGGUCGGAUUAGCUAGUUGGUGGGGUAAAGGCCUACCAAGGCGACGAUCCGUAACUGGUCUGAGAGGAUGAUCAGUCACACUGGAACAGAGACAGGGUCCGGACUCCUACGGGAGGCAGCAGUGGGGAAUAUUGGACAAUGGGCGAAAGCCUGAUACAGCCAUGCCGCGUGUGUGAAGAAGGUCUUCGGAUUGUAAAGCACUUUAAGUUGGGAGGAAGGGCAGUAAGUUAAUACCUUGCUGUUUUGACGUUACCAACAGAAUAAGCACCGGCUAACUUCGUG